rnacentral:rRNA from 1 species
UACGAAGGGGGGCUAGCGUUGUUCGGAAUUACUGGGCGUAAAGCGUGCGCAGGCGGCUUCUCAAGUCAGGGGUGAAAGCCCAGAGCUCAACUCUGGAAUUGCCUUUGAGACUGAGUGGCUUGAGUACGAGAGAGGUGAGUGGAAUUCCCAGUGUAGAGGUGAAAUUCGUAGAUAUUGGGAAGAACACCGGUGGCGAAGGCGGCUCACUGGCUCAUUACUGACGCUCAGGCGCGACAGCGUGGGGAGUCAAACAGG